AUAAAACGGGUGGUUGCGGCCUGCGCUUUCUCUUUUGGAAUCUGCCCUUGGCUGUGGUGCUGUAUACACAAUCUCAAGCCAAUGCUGUCUGUAAAGGGUUUCACAAAUGAUUCUGUGAUCAUGGAACAAGGAUUGAUUCUGUGUUUGCAAAUAUGGGAACGCUACCCAUUGAUGUGCUGGCCUUCGGCUUCUCUAAUAUGGAUCAGCUUCAGAUGAUCAAACAUGGUUUCACAAAUGAUUCUGUGAUCAUGGAACAAGGAUUGAUUCUGUAUUUGCAAGUAUGGGAACUCUACCCAUUGAUGUGCUGGCCUUCGGCUUCUCUAAUAUGGAUCAGCUUCAGAUGAUCAAACAUGUCUUAAUGUGAUUGAGCUGUGUUUCUGAAGAACCUCAAAAAAAGGUUUUGAGGAUGGAAUAUAGUUUGAGGCAUUUACUGUUCUAUGGGAUCUCUUGAACAAGAUUAGUUUAAAAACAGUGGCAUCUGAUGGAUAGAAUAGUUUUGACUUCCUAUUAUAAUGGUAGUUGAUGAACUGACAUUUGGCUUUCAAGAUCUGAGAACCUGUCCAGAAAUUACUAUUCUCAAAUACAUUGGAAGAUAUUUUGGAAUCUAAAUGUCAUUAGAUUAAAAAGAUAAACACUGGACAAUAAAGAUUUUACUUCCUGAACAUUUUUGAGUGUAUCUUACAGAUUUUUGGUUACUAAUGAUGAAAAUAAACUAAUGUAAUCUAUGACAUACCAUUUAAAAUAAAUCUAUUUUGCAAUUUUGUUUA